UACGUAGGGUGCAAGCGUUGUCCGGAGUUAUUGGGCGUAAAGAGCUCGUAGGCGGUUUGUCGCGUCUGCCGUGAAAGUCCGGGGCUCAACUCCGGACCUGCGGUGGGUACGGGCAGACUAGAGUGAUGUAGGGGAGACUGGAAUUCCUGGUGUAGCGGUGAAAUGCGCAGAUAUCAGGAGGAACACCGAUGGCGAAGGCAGGUCUCUGGGCAUUAACUGACGCUGAGGAGCGAAAGCAUGGGGAGCGAACAGG
rnacentral:rRNA from 1 species